GGGUUGCCAACCAUGUAGCGAAUCCCGCCGGCCCAGACAAAUUAAAAAGAAACAGACAGAGAAAAGAGAAGAUGAGAAGUGGCCGACUUUACGGAUGACAGAGGCAGAGGCGGCGACCGCGCAGGAACAAAGGGAUACCAGCCGUCUGCCCCAUCUGAGCAAACAAUGGGACAUUCUGCAACUGUGCCAGAGGGAUCCUGGAACUGCACGUUAUGUCACGCUCGAUAGGGAAGAGAAUCUUAGAUGUUGACUUCUAGAAGAUGGAGCUUCUUCACUGCUAGAUGCCAAUGAACCAGAAGCAGACAUCACCGACACAUGACUGACCCAGCUUAUUGAGCAUGACAUUACACUGAUUCUUGAGUUAAGUUGAGGACCACCCAGCUUGGAUGAGACUGGACAAUGAAGAAGUUGCUCUAUCUAGAUAAGGAUGCCACCCAAAUCGAAAACCAAGGAACCGGAAGCAGAAGAAAGACCAAUAGAUAUGAACUGAUGAUCCUGUUGUGUUUGCAUUGACCGAUUCAUGAGGUUAAUUUACUCGAGGAACAAGAAUAAAUAUACCCGACAGAUAGACCCCCGGCUUUUAUCUGUCUCUUUAACCGUGUUAUUAAUUCACACAAGUGUGAAAUAAUUAUAAGAAAUCAGCUUUAGCCUUUGGUUAGCCGUUUUAACUCAUCUGAAAUCCGUUGUCAAUGUUUGUUUUAUAUCAGAGGAACUGUUUAAAUGUUUAAAUGUUCAUGUAUAUAUUUGUAAAUGUUUCUUUUUCAUGUCACGUUUUAGUGUGUAUUUUGAAACUUUUUAGACAUGCAAAAUCAAGGCGCAUUUCACUGCAUAUGCAGUCUUAUAUUAU